rnacentral:rRNA from 1 species
CCUACGGGGCGCUGCAGUGAGGAAUAUUGGUCAAUGGGCGCAAGCCUGAACCAGCCAAGUCGCGUGAGGGAUGACGGUCCUAUGGAUUGUAAACCUCUUUUGUCGGGGAGCAAGGCCCGCCACGUGUGGCGGGAAGGAGAGUACCCGAAGAAAAAGCAUCGGCUAACUCCGUGCCAGCAGCCGCGGUAAUACGGAGGAUGCGAGCGUUAUCCGGAUUUAUUGGGUUUAACGGGUGCGUAGGCGGAAUGUUAAGUCAGCGGUCAAAUGUCGGUGCUCAACACCGGCCUGCCGUUGAAACUGGUUUUCUAGAGUGAGCGAGAAGUAUGCGGAAUGCGUGGUGGAGCGGUGAAAUGCAUAGAUAUCACGCAGAACUCCGAUUGCGAAGGCAGCAUACCGGCGCUCAACUGACGCUCAUGGACGAAAGUGUGGGUAUCGAACAGGAUUAGAUACCCGGGUAGUC